CUUCCAUCGUCAUCGCCGAUAACGUCGUGUCUAGGGGUAACCAGUAUUUUGUUAUUCAAACAAUAACAAGAGAAAAAGUUUCGUGGUGAAGGAAGGACGAGUUUCAGGAUAAUCUGGAUAUUUCAGAAUAUUGAAGAUGGAUAUUUAGGAUAUUGAGCGCCUAUAGUGAUUAAGCAGAAAGGAACAUUCCGGAAAUAAAAAAUGCCAAAGGGUAA